rnacentral:sRNA from 1 species
UAGGGUUAGAGGUAGGGUUAAGAGUAGGGGUAGGGUAGAGGUAGGGAUAGGGUUAGAGGUAGGGUAGGGUUAGGAGUACAGUUAGGAUUAUGGUAGGGUUAGGAAUAGGGUUACCCUACCCCUAACCCUACUCCAACCACUAACCCUACCCCUUCCCCAACCACUAACCCUACCCCAACUCUUAACCCUACCUUUAACCCUACCUCUACCCCAGCCACUAACCCUACCCUAACCCUACCCAACCCCUAAUCCUACCUCAACCC